GCAGUACAACCCACUAUGGAGCUUUUGCUUUCUAACAUGAUAAACACUUACCUUACUGAUAUCAAACUAUCUAUUACUUACAAAAUAUCUAAACUUCAAACUUAGGUAGUGGGAAAAGGGUGAAGGGAAACUUUAGAUCAAUAAUCCAACAUCUUUGUGUAUAUUAAUUUCUUUCGUUGUUUGAUUACUUGUUCUCACUGC
rnacentral:lncRNA from 1 species